rnacentral:misc_RNA from 1 species
CACGAACCGGACAAACGUUAUUCGGAAUUAUUGGGCUUAAAGGGUGCGUAGGCGGCGUAGUAGGUGGGGUGUGAAAGCCCUCGGCUCAACCGAGGAACUGCGCCCCAAACCACUGUGCUAGAGGGAGACAGAGGUAAGCGGAACUGAUGGUGGAGCGGUGAAAUGCGUUGAUAUCAUCAGGAACACCAGUGGCGAAAGCGGCUUACUGGGUCUCUUCUGACGCUGAGGCACGAAAGCUAGGGUAGCGAACGGG